rnacentral:misc_RNA from 1 species
AAGUAAUUUCAAAUGGAGGUUCCCCAGAAUGCAACAUUCCCCUUACAAUCAAUUAAAAGGCAGAUUCAGCUACAUAAAAAUAACAGAUGAUAAAAGCUAAUAUACAGGGCAAGCUACAGAUAGUCAGAUACCAUUAGAAGCUACAACAGACUCUGUAAAUUAAAAAAGUACAACAAUAACAGUAAGGUGGAGAUGAAGAAGAAAACAUCCAAAAUCCAAAGUAAGUUUUGCAUUUUCAAAUAAUUCGAGUCAAAGGGCAACAUAAUAAAACUCCUGCAAUUGUCAGGGACAAAGGAGACUAAAAACUAUAUAGUUUCUACUUUGAAAACUAAUAUACCCUGCAGGCUGAGGCUGCAGCUCAGUCUAUAUCAUUCAUCCCACGAAUGCUGCCAGGUGAAAUUAGGCUUUCAGUGUAGACAAUAGCUUUCUGAUAGCGGCCAUCUCCGAGGCCUUGAAUAUGAAGGUCAUGAUAUCUGUGGCCAUCAUACAUCACAAACCACCUGCGUCUCACAGAGACUAGAAGUUUGCCACUCUUGGUGAAGCAUUUUGGAUGCAAGCGAUAACAUAUUCGAAAAUGAGAUUCUUGACUUGAGAUUUUCGGGAUGCUCAUCAUUUUUGUCCAAAUCACUCUUACCUCACCGUUUUCUUCCUUCUCCUCCUUCAUUACCCACAGUGUGGUCAUACUGGCGAAACACACAAAGCGAAUCCCCCCAAAGAAGUAAGUUCAAUUCAGCCACUACAAUGAAUUCCUCCUCUUCCUGAAACCAAAUAGGCCGAGAAAUGGAUGGAUCAAAAGGAGGAGUAACCUCCCUAAAUGUUUCGUCUGAUAGGUUGAGACGUAAAAUUCGGUCUGCGAAUUUGUGGGUCUUGCUAGCAGCCCAGUAAAGACAACCAUUCGCAGGAACCCCCUCAUAGAAAAGGGAGUAAGGUAACUCUCCAAGAUUUCUCCACAAGUUCCUUUUCACUGAAAAAACAUGAACCUGUUUUUCACACAAACUCACCACUUUAUAAUCAUCCAUGCUCGAAUCGAAGCCGAGCCCACAUACUCCCCCACAGAUACCUAUCUCCUUAGGGAGGGGUAAUGUCCUACAGUCUCCAAUUGAUAGAUUCCAUAAAACAAGGGUGUGAUCAUCUCCAAUGGAUAAACCGAGCAUGCCAUGGCAGCAACCAGUCUUGAUCUCGAAAGAUUUUCCUCUGAUAAGAGGAAAAUCAAUCUCCACAGCAAUCCUGAAAGAACCUUCUUACCCACCACCGAAAGAAUACAAAUUAGACUCUGAUCCUUCAACUUGUCUGCGUUUGUUAUAAGAAAGAAUGAGACUGCUCUGGUUAUGAGGGCAGUGAGAAAGAGGAUCGCAGUAGAGAUGGCGAUGGAGCAGCCAGUAAGGGAAUCUAGAGUGGGUGAUAAAUUGAAGCCAAGGCUUCGAUACACACCUGAAUCGGACCAGAGAUUUUAGCGGCAGCCCGGAGAGGAUGUCGGAGACGAUAUCAGCAGGAAGAUGUUUGGCUGCCACAGUCAUGUCUGAUCGAUCAGAGGACUCAAAAUUCUAACACUGUUCUAGGUUUGCUCCUGGAGGGUCAGGUCAGGUAAGAUGAACCGAUCACUAGGUUUUUCUGUUUGACUUGAAGAAGAAAGAAGAAUGAUACUAGGGACUGUCUGGAAUUCAAGAAAAACGAAACAGUGUAGGAAACUCUGGGGGACAAUAAAGAAUAGACAUGUCUCAAAGUUCUGAUCGAGGAAUGCUCAAGACUCUGGAGCCACACUUAGAUAGAGGCAUCAGAUGCCAUAUGGAGUUCGACGGAACGAACUUGCUGCGAGAAAGUCACUGAUAUAAGCAACAACCCAUAUAAAUUUCAUAAAUUAGCGAAUAUCCG